rnacentral:rRNA from 1 species
GAGUUUGAUCCUGGCUCAGAUUGAACGCUGGCGGCAGGCCUAACACAUGCAAGUCGAGCGGUAGAGAGAAGCUUGCUUCUCUUGAGAGCGGCGGACGGGUGAGUAAUGCCUAGGAAUCUGCCUGGUAGUGGGGGAUAACGCUCGGAAACGGACGCUAAUACCGCAUACGUCCUACGGGAGAAAGCAGGGGACCUUCGGGCCUUGCGCUAUCAGAUGAGCCUAGGUCGGAUUAGCUAGUUGGUGAGGUAAUGGCUCACCAAGGCGACGAUCCGUAACUGGUCUGAGAGGAUGAUCAGUCACACUGGAACUGAGACACGGUCCAGACUCCUACGGGAGGCAGCAGUGGGGAAUAUUGGACAAUGGGCGAAAGCCUGAUCCAGCCAUGCCGCGUGUGUGAAGAAGGUCUUCGGAUUGUAAAGCACUUUAAGUUGGGAGGAAGGGCAGUAAAUUAAUACUUUGCUGUUUUGACGUUUACCGACAGAAUAAGCACCGGCUAACUCUGUGCCAGCCGCCG